rnacentral:rRNA from 1 species
AGCUUGCUCUCGGGUGACGAGCGGCGGCACGGGUGAGUAAUGUCUGGGAAACUGCCUGAUGGAGGGGGAUAACUACUGGAAACGGUAGCUAAUACCGCAUAACGUCGCAAGACCAAAGUGGGGGACCUUCGGGCCUCAUGCCAUCAGAUGUGCCCAGAUGGGAUUAGCUAGUAGGUGGGGUAAUGGCUCACCUAGGCGACGAUCCCUAGCUGGUCUGAGAGGAUGACCAGCCACACUGGAACUGAGACACGGUCCAGACUCCUACGGGAGGCAGCAGUGGGGAAUAUUGCACAAUGGGCGCAAGCCUGAUGCAGCCAUGCCGCGUGUAUGAAGAAGGCCUUCGGGUUGUAAAGUACUUUCAGCGAGGAGGAAGGCGUUAAGGUUAAUAACCUUGGCGAUUGACGUUACUCGCAGAAGAAGCACCGGCUAACUCCGUGCCAGCAGCCGCGGUAAUACGGAGGGUGCAAGCGUUAAUCGGAAUUACUGGGCGUAAAGCGCACGCAGGCGGUCUGUCAAGUCGGAUGUGAAAUCCCCGGGCUCAACCUGGGAACUGCAUUCGAAACUGGCAGGCUAGAGUCUUGUAGAGGGGGGUAGAAUUCCACGUGUAGCGGUGAAAUGCGUAGAGAUCUGGAGGAAUACCGGUGGCGAAGGCAGCCCCCUGGACAAGCACUGAC